CGCCAAGCCCUUAUUGCUCUUCUGCCUUGGAACCCCUUCUUGAUAUGGAUUCUCAGAUAGAAGGAUACUGGAGUGAUUUGCCACUUCCUUCUCCAGAUCAUUUUACAGAUGAGAAAACUCAGGUAAGCGACUUGCUCAGUUUCACAGCUAGUUAAGUGUCUGAGGUUGGAUUGGAACUCAGGAAGAGGAGUCUGGCACUCUAUCCACUGAGCCACUUAGAUGCCCUAGUAGACACUUAACAGAUGCUUAUUUAACAAGAAAUGAUUAGGCUGUUAAUAUAAUCAGAAUUUGGGAUUAGUAAUCUCCAGGAUGCCCUUUAGAACUAAUCAAGUAUGGUCAAUUUUCCUUAGCCAUUGAAUAACAAUGACUUGAUUUCACUUGCCUAAAUGCCUCUUUCUCCUCCCCCCAACCUGGAAGGCAAGAGUGAGACUGGGCUUACAGUUCUGGGUUCCUGGAUU
rnacentral:lncRNA from 1 species